rnacentral:ncRNA from 1 species
ACCUGACAGUUGCAAUGGUGCGACUGACAUUUGCCAAGACAGGAGACUUAUAUG